rnacentral:rRNA from 1 species
GGGACCUACGGGGAGCAGCAGUGGGGAAUAUUGGGCAAUGGGCGCAAGCCUGACCCAGCAACGCCGUGUGAAGGAAGAAGGCUUUCGGGUUGUAAACUUCUUUUAUCAGGGACGAAGCAAGUGACGGUACCUGAUGAAUAAGCCACGGCUAACUACGUGCCAGCAGCCGCGGUAAUACGUAGGUGGCGAGCGUUAUCCGGAUUUACUGGGUGUAAAGGGCGUGUAGGCGGGAAUGCAAGUCAGAUGUGAAAACUAAGGGCUCAACCCAUAGCCUGCAUUUGAAACUGUAUUUCUUGAGUGCUGGG